rnacentral:tRNA from 1 species
GUUGGUAUGUCCGAGUGGUUAAGGAGAUAGACUUGAAAUUUGUUGGGUUUGGCCUGCCCUGGUUCAAUCCUGCUGCCGAUG